CCCUGCCCAGUGAAAUCAUGUUCCAUUUUCCCGCCAGUGCCCAGAGAGAAGAGAGUUUGGUUUUGAGUUCAGGGAACUUUAAUGGCUGGUCUCCUUUUGAGAGGAUAAUUCUACCAUGUAAAUGGUUUUUGCAUCUCUGUAAUCCAGCUUGGUACUCUGCCUCUGGGAUUUUAAUGGCUAUUGCAUCUCCCUUAACACAAGGGAGGGGAAGCUGUGAAAUGGAAACCUCACCCGAGCCCUUAAGAGCUUGAAGAAAAGAAGGUUUUGGGAGAGAAUGAGCAUUUGCCUUGAGCUUAUGCGACAGAUCUGGCAUGUCACCUAAGAAAGACCAAGGAAUGAGAGGAGGGGGAGAGGUCAUGAUGAGAUUGGAGAAGAUCCGGAGAAGUUGGAAAUAAGCCCUAGCAGAGCUCCAAGAAAGUUGGAACUUUCAUGAUUUUUUUCAUUGAUCUUCA
rnacentral:lncRNA from 1 species